CCUCAGUAUAAUUUUUGGCAUUUCACAAAUUCAUCCCAGGUGCCAGAUUGGACCCUUUGGCGGGCCGGAUUUGGCCCCCGGGCCGCAUGUUUGACACCUCUGCUGUAGGGAGAGAAGGUCAUGU